AUUGAACGCUGGCGGCAGGCCUAACACAUGCAAGUCGAGCGGGGUUUUCGGACCUAGCGGCGGACGGGUGAGUAAUGCGUAGGAAGCUACCCGAUAGAGGGGGAUACCAGUUGGAAACGACUGUUAAUACCGCGUAAUGUCUACGGACCAAAGUGUGGGACCUUCGGGCCACAUGCUAUCGGAUGCGCCUACGUGGGAUUAGCUAGUUGGUGGGGUAAUGGCUCACCAAGGCGACGAUCCCUAGCUGGUUUGAGAGGAUGAUCAGCCACACUGGAACUGAGACACGGGCCAGAGUCCUACGGGAGGCAGCAGUGGGGAAUAUUGGACGAUGGGCGCAAGCCUGAGCCAGCCAUGCCGCGUGUGUGAAGAAGGCCUUCAGGUUGUAAAGCACUUUCAGUAGGGAGGAAGGAUGUUGUGUUAAUAGCACAGCAUUUUGACGUUACCUACAGAAGAAGCACCGGCUAACUCUGUGCCAGCCGCCGCGGUAACAC
rnacentral:rRNA from 1 species